rnacentral:rRNA from 1 species
CCUACGGGUGGCAGCAGUGAGGAAUAUUGGUCAAUGGGCGAGAGCCUGAACCAGCCAAGUCGCGUGAGGGAGUACUGCCCUAUGGGUUGUAAACCUCUUUUGUCGGGGAGCAAAAGCCGGACGUGUCCGGCUGUGAGAGUACCCGAAGAAAAAGCAUCGGCUAACUCCGUGCCAGCAGCCGCGGUAAUACGGAGGAUGCGAGCGUUAUCCGGAUUUAUUGGGUUAAAAGGGUGCGCAGGCGGAUGUUUAAGUCAGCGGUAAAAUCGUUGGGCUCAACCCCAUCCAGCCGUUGAAACUGGGGAUCUAGAGUGUGCGAGAGGUAUGCGGAAUGCGUGGUGUAGCGGUGAAAUGCAUAGAUAUCACGCAGAACCCCGAUUGCGAAGGCAGCAUACCGGUGCACAACUGACGCUCAGGCACGAAAGCGUGGGUAUCGAACAGGAUUAGAUACCCUAGUAGUC